GAGCACUAUUCACUAAAGAGGUGUUUAUGGUCUUAAAAAAAUCCAACACGUUUGGAUUAUUAGUCUUCAAUCAGUCAUGUUUUAUCUGAAUUGAUAAAGUUAAAGGUACACAAAAGUUAAAGUUUGACAACCAUUCAACUUUCAGUUGAACCUAGAGUUGUAUAGAGCAAUGAAGCAACUGUGGAUCACUGAGAACCACCCUCCCAACAUUUCAUCACUGGACACCAUAUCCAGAUGUUUAGAACGUAUUUUGUUUGUUGUUUGUGGUGGCAGACUGGACCUGAAGGUAUCAGCAUGUAAACAAGCCAGUUUGCUAACAUGUCAGCGUGCUACCAUACCAGUAUGCUAACAUGUUGACAUGCUAACAUGCGCACCCAACUCCUCCCCUUCCCUCUCAGAUAUUUCAGAGAGCUCCUGUUCUGUGUAGUCCCAAACCCAAGGCCCCAUUAAGGCCUUCCUGAUCCCAGGACAGAAUGCCAGUAUGGCCCCGGGGCCAGCAAAGGGCCCCCAGCCCACCGUGGCUGCCCGCCUCAAGAACCUCCAGCAGGGGAGCCUGGAGCGACCCAACAAGACCCGCAAGCAGAAGGAGGACUUCUCCUCAAAGAGCCCCGGGCAGCAGCAGGUAUUCCACUUCUGAGACAACAGUACCACCGCCUGGACUUACCGUCUGGCCCGCCUCCUCCAGACUUCCCCAGGAAACAAGUGACAAAAACACACAGGAGACACCUGCGGAAAAUGGCGACGAGGUGAAAAAAAAGAAGAAAAAGAUUCUCAAGAGCACUUAUCGAUGUGAGUUUUCGGUAUUUCAGUUACUGGAUCUAAAAACUAGCUUGCGUAGAGAACAAGUUUUGUUGUACAAUAAUGUCGGUGUCUUGCUUUUUCCCAGAGGAAGCUGUUGGUUGUGUUUGUGACAGAUUAAGCUAGCUGUACCACAAUAAGUAACUUUAGCGCAUCGUUUAACCUCCAGCGUCAGCCUAUAGCCUCUGAACUGGAAAACACAGCAAGUCAAACUAACGAUUAUCCAUAUCCACAUAAUACCUUCAUCCUCCUCCUCCUCCUCCUCCUCCUCCUCCUCCUCCCCAAUUAUAUCUAACACCAGUAGGUGGAAUCAACGGUGCUCGAUAGUUAAGAUGGUGGGUUUAUUUUCUACACAUAAACCGUUUUGAGCCCUAAUGGGGACUGGUUUAAUGAGGACCACAGCCUGAAGACAGCCCUGAUGUCUUUACCGUCUGUACAUGGCCUCUAUAGAAGGACUCCGAGAACACUCCACCAUAGAUUGUGUUAUAUCAAACAAAGUGUGUUUGAUCGAAAUGUAUGUUAAGGCGAACACGUGUUAAACAACAAUAUUAUACCAAAUAUUAGAGAAGAUCCAACAGAGAGAUGUGAUGCUUGAAUAGAUGUUGAGAGAAGAGUGAGGGAUGGACGGUUGAGCUUCAAGCAACACCGAUAGAAAGGGGGAGCGGUUCCAAUCCAUUCCAGGAUAUCAGCCAAAAUAAGUUGUGGGUCAAUAGUGGCAAUAAGAGUUUACAUCACGGCUUGAUGGCCAUCAUUCCCCCCCCAAAGUCAACUUAAUCAUCUAACACCCAGACUACCUUCCCCCACUGUCAGAUACAUCCCCUGGAAAAACCCACGCACACUUGGCUCUGACGUCCGAGAAGCACAAUAUAACGCAUGAAAGUAGCCAAAGGGAAUUUCCGUGACCUUGACUACCGACCCAAUUUAGAAUCCUAUGUCCAACAGAUGUUGCCAUCUGGUGAGCUGACUGUGAUCCGUAAAAGAUCGACCUGCCCAGAGCUAGCCCUCUGCUGGGAACAGGCUGGAGACCAAAUGAGACGGUACGAGCUUAUAAAGCCCACUCAGACCCUGCUCUCCCAAAAACCUCCUCCCGACCUCCUCCUCAGCUCCCCUAACCUGGUAUAUCGGGACACCCACCACCCUUCCAUCCAUCUAUCUAUGCAUCUUGGUUCAUCCAUCCAUCCACCCAUGCAUCCACCCAUCCAUCCACCCAUGCAUCAACCCUAUCAAACCCAUCCACCCAUCUAGUGUAUCUGUAUUCCAUGAAAGCUGACGCAGUCUGUCAGGUCUCAGUGUCACUGCGUCGCGACAAACCCGCACGCCCUCUGUUUCUGUCCCUAGAAGCCCCUUCAGUCUUUGUGAAUCUCUCCGAGCAUGUCGGCUGUAGAGGCUAACGCCCAUGCCUAGCCAGUGUCCCCAGAGGCCGGAUCACGGAGCAAAAACACAGCUGGAGAACGUUUGCUCUGUCUCUGCUGAGCCCUCUAAGCCCCUGAGACUCUUUCAGACACUGUUGUGUGGGUCUGACAUCCUCGUGCAAAUGACUGUGUAACUGAGAUUAGCUGGUAGCACUGAGGCUACAAGUUAGAGCCUAGGUUGGCUGGAAAAACUGGGGCUAACUGUUAGCGCUGAUGUUCGCUGGUAGCACUGAGUCUAGUUGUUUAGCGCUGAGGUUAGCUGGAAGCACCGAUGAUAGCUGAUAACAAGGAGGCUAGCCGUAAGCACUGAGGAUAGCUGUCGGCUCUGAGGCUAGCUGUAAGCACUGAGGCUAGCUGUUAGCUCUGAGGUUAGCUAGCACUGAGGUCAGUUAUCUGGUAAAUCUUAGCUGCAAAUUCUUCUCAUCUUCAACCCUCCCGCCCCUCCUCUCUGCACUGUCUAGCUUUCCAUACUCUUCCUCCCCCUUUAUCUUCCCUCCUCACCCUCUUCCUCUCCUCCUCCUCCUCCUCUGCUCUUCCUCCCUCUCUCUCUUCAUCUUCUGCACAUCCUCUCCUCCUCCUCCUCUCUCUCCUCUACUCUGCUUCAGAACUCUACUCAGUUUUAACUAUCCAUCUCCCAUACUCUUUCCUCCAUUAGCUAAAGAGAGGAAGAGAGAAGGGGGAGAGAGAGAGAGGUAGGGAGAGAGCUGAAUCAGGACAGAUAGCCUGUGGAAAUACUUUUGACAGCAGAGUCCCAAACAUAAAAGCAUCACUACAUUGUUCUGCUUAUAUAGUCUCUCUCUCCACAACGCACUUUCUCUCUCUCUCUUUUCUUUUUCUUUGUCUCGCUCUCUUUGUCGGUGUGUGUGUGUGUGUGUGUGUGUGUGUGUGUGUGUGUGUGUGUGUGUGUGUGUGUGUGUGUGUGUGUGUGUGUGUGUCUGUCUCUCUCUCUCUCUCUCUCUCUCUCUCUCUCUCUGUCUCUGUCUCUGUCUCUGUCUCUCCCUCCCUCUCGGCAUCUCUCAUUCUGAUGCACCAAGCUUCCCCAGUGGCCAAUAAGGAGACAGAAGCACAGAAUUUUAUCACACAAACAAACACACACACACACAACACAAACACACACACACACACACACACACACACACACACACACACACACACACACACACACACACACACACACACACACACACACACACACACACACACACACACACACACUCCAUGGUUUCUUGGUUUAGUGUUUGCGUCUCUUUUCUCUUUUCUCUUCCUCCUCGCUCACCUUCUGUUCCCCCUUGAAGCAGAGCUGAAAUGUAUUCUCUCCUACUCCUCCUCUUUUUCCUCCAUCCCUUCUCUUCUUCACUUCCUUCUCCUCUGCUGCUCUUUCCCUCUUCUUCUCCUGUUCCCCUGAUCCAUUUCACCCCUCCUCUCCUUCACUCCUCCUCCUCCUCCUCCUCCUCCUCCUCCUCCUCCUCCUCCUCCUCCUCCUCCUCCUCCUCCUCCUCCUUUACCUUCUAUUCAAAAACCAAUGGGCAGCUAUGUUGGGAAGCAACUACCAUUCAGGGUUUGCUGUCUCAUUGGAACAGCAGUACUGACUAUUGUUCUACUGGUAGUAUUAGUCGCGUUAGUAGGAGGUGUAGUAGUAGUACUAGCACUAGCAGCAUAUGAAGGAUCUAUUAUUGCUAAACCACCCAGCUACCUGCCUGAGGUCUGCCUGCAGCCCAAUGCAUUCUGGGACCAGCCUGGGGUUCGAUCAUUAAAUAUAAGACACAUUAAAGUAUAGUCUAAAAAUAAAUAAAUAUAUAUAUAUACUGUAUAUAU
ensembl:lncRNA